UUAACUCUUCAUUUGGAUUAAUCAUUUUCGGUUUUUUUUUCUAAAUCAAUUUUUCCUUAAUUUCUUCGCCAAUUCGAGUCAUUAACUUAAAUUGUCUCUUCCUUUUCCAGUUAAUUGUGAUUUUCUAAUCUUUUCCUCUUGAUAACAGUAAAUUAAAUCUCCUCUGUUAUUAAUUAAGUUUCUAAUCCAAAGAAAAUCAAAUGACCACCAGUGAUGGACAAGAUGAAUCUCCACUAAAGUACAAACCAUUCAAUUGAAAUUGUGACAAUUCCGAUUCUCAUUUGUGACCUUAGUUGACAAGGUUAAUCAAGGUCGAUCUAUUUAAUCCGUUAUUGCAAUCUGGAGAUUAAAAUUGAAUCCCAACAAUCAGCUGAUUCUGAUUAAUCCAAUUUACUCAAUUGAGCCAACCACCAAACCAAAACAACUUGCAUACGGAAGUGGGUGGCAAGGUAACCUAUCUAGUGGUCAUCCUUUCAUGACUCAUUUUAAUUGACUGGUUGUUGUUGUUGUUGUCGUCGUCGUCUGGACUGGGACGAUAAAGCUACGAUUAAGACGUCUCUCUUGUGACAAAACAAGAGACUGGACAUUGUCCAGAAAGUAGGAGGGAAAUAGACACACAAGAAUAAGAGACUCUUGUGUCCAGUUUCUCAGUGGUUGGUGUAUAAAAAUAAAGUGGGAGGAGGAGGAAGAGGAGGAGUUGAUGAUGAUUAAGAUGACCAUUGGACUUUAUUACUUUCAUUUGUUGUCCAGUUCUUACAGAUAAUGUUGAUAAAAGUUCCACCCUCUAUGUCUCUGGUCCGUAUGAGGGACAAUAAUAUGUACUACAGACAGGAGUGACAAAGAUGAUAAACUUAUCUUCCUCAUCUUCCUCAUCUUCAUCAUCUCUUUGAAAAAUGUUGCUCUUUUUUUCCCAUUCAUAUCCAUUGUUACCCAUUGACAAAAGGUGACAAACUAAAAGUAGUCACAAAUUAUACUAUAAACUGUCAUCCUCAUCAUCAUCAUCAUCAUCUAUUGGAUAUUAACUUGAUUACAACUUGAUUAACUUGUUAACAAUUAACUCAUUUAUAACAAUCAACAAGAGAUUGAGCAAAAAUAAUAAUAUAUUAACUUUUUUUCUGUUAAUUUGAUUGU